GAUUGGACCGGCGUGGCCACUCUCUCAGCCACUCUCGUAAUCUCGUUCAGUCUUUCAUUACACAUGCACGCUGUCCGUCAUGGGAAGUAUGGAUACUACGACGAAGUUGUUGAACAACCACGAGAUCGUCGACGAGUACGGGCUAAAUCUGAAGAUUCUGCCAUGUAACAACCAAGUGAAGGAGUUGCAAACCAUUUUACGAGACAAGAAUACCACGAGGAGCGACUUUAAGUUUUAUGCUGAUCGUUUGAUUAGGCUAGUUAUAGAGGAGAGCUUGAAUCAGCUGCCUUUCACAAAAUGCGUGGUAACGACUCCGACUGGUGCCAAAUACAAGGGUCUGAAAUACCAGAAAGGAAACUGCGGUGUGUCUAUAGUGAGGAGUGGGGAAGCUAUGGAGCAGGGUUUGAGAGAUUGUUGUCGCAGUAUCCGAAUUGGUAAGAUACUAGUAGAAAGUGACAUGGACACGCACGAAGCUAGAGUAGUUUACGCCAAAUUCCCGGACGAUAUAUCCGAGAGGAAGGUCUUGCUGAUGUAUCCAAUAAUGAGUACAGGGAAUACUGUAAUAAAAGCUAUAGCUGUGUUAAAGGAACACAACGUGCUCGAAGAAAAUAUUAUCUUGUCAAAUUUGUUCUGUACGCCAAUCGCAGCCAAAUCUCUGGUCACUGCCUUCCCUAAGAUGAAGAUCUUAACGUCGGAGAUCCACACUGUCGCGCCAAAUCAUUUUGGACAGAAAUAUUUUGGUACGGAUUAAUUAUAUUUGCAUAAUAAAUGCUAAAGAGAAAUAUAUAUAUAUAGAUGCAUAAUAAAACCAAGAGGAAAUCAAUGAAGAAUGAUUACGUGCUACGGAAACAAGGAAACGAUAAUAUAUUAAGCCAUUUGAUAAUUAGAGUUAAUUAUUAGCGAUUUACGGCAUCGCCAGUUUCGUGGCUAUUUCGUGCAAUUAAUAAAGUAAACGAUUGCAAAGUACACGUCGAUUAAGAAUGCUCUUAAUUAUUCUUGCGGUGAGGAAGAAUUACAAUGAAGUCAUUUAUAGAGGCAUUUUUCUUUUUCAUUUUUAUAUCGGAUAUGCGAAUCCUGAAGUACUUAGUAACUGUGAUUUUCUGUAGACGUAUAUUUUAAAGUUUCAGUUCCUAGCAAAAAUGUAUUAAAUUUAUUUUUACAUUUAUAUAUUUUAAUAAGUUAUUUUUUGUAUGAUUAAUUGUCUUUUAAUUCGGUGUUCUUUGACGAUAGCUUUCGAAAAUGAAAUAUAUCACUUUAUAGUUGAGUGAUUCAUAAAUUAAAUGAUUUAUAGACUUUAGAGAUAAGUGCGAUAUGCAAAUCGCAGAUCUAAAUUUUUUCAGCAGUAAGCAUUCUUUUGAUUUUCUCUACGUACGAUAAGACUGUAAGCAAUACAUUUGUUUGAAAUGUACUUAGAAUCGAUCGAGUACCGAUGAAAUAAUUGAAACAAUUUUACAAUAUCUCUUUCAAUACAUUUUUCACUAACAGUUGUUCUUUUCUAAUCCUUUGUCUGCAAAGGCACGGUAGAAGUUUAUGAGUUUUAUGUGUGCUAUACGCAUAUGUUGCAUUAAGACGAAUAUUAUAUCCGACCAUAUAUGUACCACUUGUUUGGUAUCGCGUACAUAGUAUCACCGUCCCAAUAAAACGUGAGCAAAUUAAUAGUUGAAUAAUCAACAAGAGCUUGACAUUACAAUCGUUUUUGAAAUCGCCCCCGCCUGCUUUCUCGUAAAAUGAUUUUAUUAUCGAACUCGAGAGAUCUGUCGGAUUUUCAAUUCAAGCGGACGGAUACGCGUGUGUAAUGUCAGGUUUCCCGCGUACACGAUGUAAUAUAAUAUAUACAAUAUUUGUACACGAGAGAGGAAAGCCGAUCAAUUACGGUACAUGCAUUACCCUUUUCUUGUUAAGAAAUGUUAUAUACAAUAUCUCUAAGUGGUUUGCAGCAUUACAUUAAUUUUUCUUUCCUUUUCUGCAUACUCUUGAUUCAGAUCUGAGCUAGAUUUCUUUACGACGUACACAAAUAUUCUGUAACAGAAAUUUUUCCACUCGAGAUAUAAGACCAAUAUACAAUGAUGAAUCUUCAGUCACAUGACUCUUUUUGUCGAAGUUUUGUGGUAAACAUUUUCUCUAUAUAUUAGUAGAUUUUUUUUAGAAGAAGGAUGAAUACCUCAUUAUGCGUUACACACGAUAAUAUAAUCAAAAAUAAUACAUUACACUGUAUUAUUUUUGCUACGUAUGCCUUACAUAUAUGUGAGAGGGAGACGAAUGUGUUUGAAGUAAUAGGUAAAUGUCUAUGUAAGAGCAGAAUAUGAAACAUAUAGCUGAGCGUACUGUAACACGAUCGUGAACACGUAUUUACACUACCACAGUAACUUGAUUAUAUUUAUGCAUGUUCUCUUAAAAUUUAUGGAAGGAAUACUAUAUACUAAAUGUAAAAAUGUGAGGAAGCAUACGAGUCGGGGCACUCUUACCGUUUAAAGACCCGGUAGUUCUGAUGCAUCCUUGAUUUUUUACGCAAGUUGCAUUUUAUACAUAAUUUUUAACGGAAUCUUUGUAUACACUGAUACUUAUAAACGUAUAUAAUAUAUAUAUUAUAUAUAUAUUCUUUUUAAAACAUUUUAGUCGGAAUGGGUACAAAUGUUAUUUAUGGUACUUUACAUAGAAGAUGCGAUCAGAGAAGAGAAUUAGUUUUAAUUUGUUCAUUAAUGUCAGUUAAGAUAGUCAGGGAAUGGUACAUAUAUAUGUAUAUGACCGAGACUAUAUAUUCAUUGGAAGCUAUUUUAUGUACAUAUAUGUAUAUAUGUAUUCACCCGAUGGAGUCAAAGUACAGUUGAUGCUCAAUAAUCGAAAAACGAGAGAAAGAGGAAUAUAUAGAAUUUUAUAAAUUACAUACCCACACACGCAUCGUAUGGAGGACUAUGCAGCUUUUACAUGUAGCAAGUUUCAAAUAUUUAUAUACGUAAGGAUAAUAUUUCGUGCAUGAUUCAAUUAAUGGCUGUAUAUUUGUUCAAGUUCAACUCACAUGUGAAACUUUAGUGUCACGCCACUUCAGAAGGUACCAAACGUGUGUGCUUAUAAGACAUAUGUAUAAAGAUGAUUUUUAAAAGGUUUAUUGAAUUGUCCGGGAACGGGCAUUUUUAUUAAACUGUUUGCCUUAUAACGUGCCUGUGAAAAAGCUGCAUUCUGCAAUUAUAGCAAAAUCACAGUGACAACAAGUUGUGUAAAUUUUACUUAUUGAGGAUGCGACGAUUAUAUAUAAACAUACUAUUAUUUAAAUUAUAAGUUUUUUUUACUGAUUAAUGAUCGUUUAACGUCUUUUUCGUUUCAGCAAUAAGUUUGUUCGACAAAUAUAUUGUACCGAAACAUAAUAAUGAUAAAUAUCUGAUACAUAUUUGUGAUUAUUAAUGAUUUAAUACAGCAGAUAGUAUAGAUGAAAUAAAUGCAACUUUGAAAAUA